GGGAGUAUAGCUCAGUUGGUAGAGCGCCGCCUUUGCAAGGCGGACGUCAGCGGUUCGAGUCCGCUUACUUCCA
rnacentral:tRNA from 1 species